GACGAACGCUGGCGGCGUGCUUAACACAUGCAAGUCGAACGGGCCCGCUCUCUUUUUUGGGGGUGGGUUGAGUGGCGAACGGGUGAGUAUCACGUGAGUAACCUGCCCCCUGCUCCUGGAUAACUGCUUGAAAGGGCGGCUAAUACGGGGUGUGCCGGUUGGUCCGCAUGGGCCUGGUCGGGAUAGUUUCAUCUUCGGGUGUUUCGGUGGGGGAUGGGCUCGCGGCCUAUCAGCUUGUUGGUGGGGUGAUGGCCCACCAAGGCGGUGACGGGUAGCCGGCCUGAGAGGGUGGGCGGCCACACUGGGACUGAGACACGGCCCAGACUCCGGCGGGAGGCAGCAGUGGGGGGUAUUGCACAAUGGGCGGAAGCCUGAUGCAGCGACGUCGCGUGAGGGAUGGAGGCCUUCGGGUUGUGAACCUCUUUCUCCGGUGGUGAAGGCCCUGUCCGUUGCGGCGGGGUUGACGGUAGCCGGGUAUGAAGCGCCGGCUAACUACGUG
rnacentral:rRNA from 1 species